UCUAGUGUCAACCUCAGAGCUGCUGUAGGACAUUCAGCCAUCCCCAGCCCUGGGGAGGGGACAUUUUCUCUGAAGGUCGGCUGUUGAGGGGAAGCCAGCCCUUGGGUGCUGAGGACAGGGCGUCUGCCUUGGUGCCGCAGCUGCAGCCUCUGCCCUAUGGGGCUCAGUCAGCAUACCUUCUGUGGCCUCCAGGGAGGCAGAGGGAUUCCUCACACACCCCGGAGAGGUAGCUGUUCUGUCUUGUU
rnacentral:lncRNA from 1 species